AUAUUUAGCUGGCAGAGGGGUCUUAGCCAUGAUCACUUAAGGUGGCUCUCCCAGGGCGAACCUGGUUCAUUGCACCCGAUCCCACUGACCUCUGCGAAUUUCACCACAUGCGGGAAACUCAACUGCACAAUUUACGGUAGUGGGGCACUGCGUGCACGCUUUCCCCUA